GAAAUAGGUCUUCAAUUGUGCCGUCAAGAGCUGCCGUAUCUAGAUUCACGCUCAAGGCCGAAGUUUUAGACGACAGAUGCCCACGUGACCUGGGAGAAAAGAAAAUACCAUAGAAAAGUGUCUUGCUUUUUUUGGCGCGUACGCCGUGUAGAAGACACGUUUAUCACGUGACCAGGAAUCGGACGUCGUGACGUCUAUUUCGUGUUGUCUAAGUUUUUGCGGUGGUUUCUAUGCGCUCGGAGCGUGGCUCGGAGUGAUCACCCGAACGGCGUCGACGAGUCACAUGAACUAUGCGACGGGGCUAGACAUGCUGGUGGCGCGGCACUGGUCACACCUCUUCUUCAACGCCUUGCCGCCAGCGUUUUCUCGCUUUGCUGGUUCUGGGAUUCUUUGACAGUGGGUAUGAACGUCACCAGUGGGUUCAACGUGCCGCCUGGAGGAAAUCUGCGUGCGAUUCAUACCGAAGACUGACAGAAAUUAGCCAGUACACGGCACAAGUGUUACCCGGAACAUGCGUCCAAUGCUGACACUCACCUGUCGACCAUGUGCAAGUUAUGUCUUGAAGCAAAAUUCCGAUUCGAGGCCAGGAAGCAUAGAGGAAACGCUGCACAACGGGUGACAACUGCUAUAUCAACAGCCCCCACAAAGAGCUGUAGAGCCGCUGAAAUAUGGUGAUCAUAUGCCCUGAGCAACAAACAGGUCUUCACCCCAGCGAAACUUGUUUCGUAGCGAAUUUCAAGCUUGCAAAUCGUUUCACAGCAGCGGCGUCGAGCCACGCCGUUUUGUGCAAUCUGUGAUAUUUUGACUAUGUGUGGUUCUAAUUCAUUUUUAUUUUCUCCGAGUCAUUUCUCUGUGAACAGGGUAUUUUGCAUAGUUUGCAAGUCUAGACAAUAUUCACUGUACCACAAUUUCACAACUUUGCCGAAAUAAAGUCGUCAAUCGCCUUUCAAAUAAAUUCUGUUGACUGCAA